rnacentral:lncRNA from 1 species
AACUUUCGACUUGUUGAGACGUUGAUGCAUCCUUCGGUUGAUCAUUGGGAAUUGGACAUGUACCAAUAGGAAUGUCUUCUUGCAUACAACUAAUAAUGGCUUCCAUGUCUGAUUUCUAUUCAGAUAAUUUCUGCAGCGUAUUCUUAUUUUGUUCAUAGACAUAAUAUCUCAUGAAUCUAAACUGGUAUCUACAUAAGAGUGCAUGGUCUGGUAAUGGUCUUCUUGCCAUUUUGUUGUUGUUGGAAUAAUUGUUCCUCUUUCUCCAAAUGUGUGUUAAAAAAACUUGAUAAUGAGUUAUCCAUGUAGGAACGCAUAGUAGAUUGCAUAUAAUCCUCCUGCCAUUUUUGGUGUUGUUN